AAGAACCACUACAAGAAUGCUAAAAAUCUUAUCCUGUCUUUCUAGAACUACGAACUUUAAUCCCUUAUCUGUCUUUCUAAACUUCCUUCUUUCUUCUAUAAUGGUCAUUGUUUGUUAUGUAGAUCACCUCCCUGAUGGUGAUAGACUGAGCCCAUGGGCAAGCUAAUUUCUUUGAUAUUCAUUCCUGUGCUUUUGGAAAACAUAUAUAUACUGGUCACAAACUCAAAGAAAAUGACACUCAGAUUUUCACUCUUGAAGUGUGUCUGUUUGUCAUUUCUUUCACCGACGCCCUGACCACCCUGCACGCUUCUCUCAACCCUGAGGUGGCCUCAUCGUCUACUGCUGUGCUGGUCCGGGGCAGGUGGUGCCCAACGUGGGGCCCCGACAUUUCAUUUCAUUUCAUUGUGUCUUCCACCCAAAGAAGAGUAUUGAAAACUACAGACUGGAAGCUGGGAGCCUGCUGUACCUAUUCUCUCCAGAAAUACCACCCUGUUUCUGAGCAUUGGCUUAAGGGACAGCUGUGACUGAUGAGCAAGUGUGUGGUUUCUGUUGCUGACUGGCAUGCUACUCUCCAAGAGGCUGGGAUGAAGGAAAGAAGAGACAGACACCUGCUUAUUUGCUGUGCUCUUGUGCUCCUGAGCUCGAAUUGGAAGACAGAACAGAAGCGAAUAGCUGAAGAAACCACUUAGAAAAUUAAGUAAAAUAGCAUUUUAAUUCUGCACUAGGAAUUCAAAUCAAAAUCACAAUUAAAUUCAAACAAAUCAAAAUGAUCACAAAAGGACUAUGAUUAUUUCAAAUUCCACAUGUUCAUUAUAGUAAAUAAGAAAGUCAUCCAUUUUUGUAUAUUAAACUUAUAUUCUGCAACCUUGCUGUAAUCUUAGUUUCAGAGGUGUUUCUGUCAAUUCUAUCAGAUUUUCUACAUAGACAAACAUGCCAUUUGCAAACAAAGACAGUUUAAUUUCUUCCUUCCCAGUCUGUGUAUCAUUUAUUUUCUUGUAUUAUUGUUGUAUUGUUGGAUUUGCUGGGUCUUCUAGUAUGCUGUUGAAAAGCAAAGGGGGCUUAUCCUUACCUUGUUCCUGAUCUUAGUGGAAAGCAUCUUGUUUCGUACCACUUAGUGUGAGAUUAACUGUAGGGUUUUUGUACAUGUUCUUCAUCAAGUUGAGGAUAUCCACCUCUCUUCUUAGUCCAGUGGGUGUAGAUAAUAUGCAGUGCCUUUUCUG